GACAGAGGGUGCAAACGUUGUUCGGAAUUACUGGGCGUAAAGCGUGCGUAGGUGGUUUGUUAAGUCUGAUGUGAAAGCCCUGGGCUCAACCUGGGAAUUGCAUUGGAUACUGGCAGGCUAGAGUGCGGUAGAGGGUAGUGGAAUUCCCGGUGUAGCAGUGAAAUGCGUAGAGAUCGGGAGGAACACCCGUGGCGAAGGCGGCCAUCUGGACCAGCACUGACGCUGAGGCACGAAAGCGUGGGGAGCAAACAGG
rnacentral:rRNA from 1 species